AAUUUCAUUACUGGUGCUGUUGCAAGCUGUAGAUAUGGUUUCAUGCCAAAAAAGAAUAGGGGGCAGAGGAGGGAGAGGAGGAGAAUUUGGAGAAGGCUUCGUGGAACAGCUGGAGAAUAAAAUCCUUGAAGAAUAAUGAGCUGUUUUGCCUGAAGAUCAGAAUAUGCAUGGAAAUAUAUUGUGUAUAACAUUAUUUUAAAUGUAUCUGAGAGGCAAUAAAUAAAAGUUGUAU